rnacentral:rRNA from 1 species
CAGCCGCCACGGUAAUACGUAGGUGGCAGGCGUUGUCCGGAAUUAUUGGGCGUAAAGGGCUCGCAGGCGGUUUCUUAAGUCUGAUGUGAAAGCCCCCGGCUCAACCGGGGAGGGUCAUUGGAAACUGGGAAACUUGAGUGCAGAAGAGGAGAAUGGAAUUCCACGUGUAGCGGUGAAAUGCGUAGAGAUGUGGAGGAACACCAGUGGCGAAGGCGACUCUCUGGUCUGUAACUGACGCUGAGGAGCGAAAGCGUGGGGAGCGAACAGGAUUAGAUACCCGGGUAGUCCCUGUCUCUUAUAC